rnacentral:rRNA from 1 species
AGAGGAAGUAAAAGUCGUAACAAGGUUUCCGUAGGUGAACCUGCGGAAGGAUCAUAACCUAGAGUUGUAGGCUUUGCCUGCUAUCUCUUACCCAUGUCUUUUGAGUACCUUACGUUUCCUCGGUGGGUUCGCCCACCGAUUGGACAAAUUUAAACCCUUUGCAGUUGAAAUCAGCGUCUGAAAAAACUUAAUAGUUACAACUUUCAACAACGGAUCUCUUGGUUCUGGCAUCGAUGAAGAACGCAGCGAAAUGCGAUAAGUAGUGUGAAUUGCAGAAUUCAGUGAAUCAUCGAAUCUUUGAACGCACAUUGCGCCCCUUGGUAUUCCAUGGGGCAUGCCUGUUCGAGCGUCAUUUGUACCUUCAAGCUCUGCUUGGUGUUGGGUGUUUGUCUCCUGUAGACUCGCCUUAAAACAAUUGGCAGCCGGCGUAUUGAUUUCGGAGCGCAGUACAUCUCGCGCUUUGCACUCAUAACGACGACAUCCAAAAGUACAUUUUUACACUCUUGACCUCGGAUCAGGUAGGGAUACCCGCUGAACUUAAGCAUAUCAAUAGCG